AUGAAGUUGGAAGUAAUGAAAUAUUUGACUUUUGGAGAGAGAAUUGGAAGUCUGCCUACAAAUCAAUACUAUCCCUAUAGAAAGUCUCACAUUUCACGGAACACGGGCGGUUCACGAACUUUGUCGAAUUUUCGAAAAUCCAAGCACAACUGCCAAAAAAGUGAUUAUUUAUAUGCCUGAAACUCCCGAACAAGUGUUUUCAACUUUAAUCUCGGAAUUUGAAACUCGAGAAUUGGGCUGCGCAAAUUUUGGCACUUUUCAAGGAAGGUUAUCUGGAGAAAAUCUACGUGGAUUGUGUAACCGGUGCCAUUUUUGAGAAAUUAGUUGAACUGGAGCAAUUCAAAAUGUGCAAGUACAUAAAAUUGGAAGCAAGGGUUCUGUCGGAGCAACAACUAUUAAAAUUCGAUUCAUCUUUCAAAGUUAACUAUGAUUUCCUGCAACAUGCCGAACGGUUAGAGUUGUCGCUUUGUGAUUUGGAGCCCGAGGAUGCUUGGGAAAUUAUAAAGAAUUUCCGCUCGAGACCACAACUUCCUAUUAACUCGUUUUUCAAAAUUUUCGUGGAUAAUUAUGUAAAGAGUGGGAAAAUUGUUCGCUUGUUUGAUGUUCAGCCAAAAAACGAGGAAGAGAUUGCAGAAAUUACUUGCUUUGAACACGUUCAACUCUUCGACAUGGAAGAUCGGAACAAACUUCUGGUGGUUGGUAUGUGGCGCCGUGUUCUAUAUGGAUCCAUCUGCCGUCGUGAUUGUAUUUUGAAGGAUUUUGACCGUAACCGUUAA
rnacentral:misc_RNA from 1 species